UCAAACUUGGUCAUUUAGAGGAAGUAAAAGUCGUAACAAGGUUUCCGUAGGUGAACCUGCGGAAGGAUCAUUAACAAAUCCCGUGCUGCGUCGGGUGCCACGUGCACCCUGACCGCGGUCACACAUGCUCCAUGUGCACGACACGCUCUGCACCUGCGACACAUUCUGCACAUCGUCUGAUUGUCAUGCCCAAUGUCAAUGUCAACUUUUAACAAUGGAUCUCUAGGCUCCUGCAUCGAUGAAGAACGCAGC
rnacentral:misc_RNA from 1 species